rnacentral:tRNA from 3 species
GGGCCUAUAGCUCAGUCGGUAGAGCAGCGGACUUUUAAUCCGUAGGUCGAGGGUUCGAGCCCCUCUGGGCCCA